GAGAAUGUCAGCAAGUUCCCUGGCUUAGGAGGUGACAGUGCCUGCCUGCAAAGGGUGAUAGAAACGACGGCAGCUGACGUUGAUCAAGUACCAAGCGCUGGACAAAGAAAGAUGGAAAUCAGGGAGUCAAGUGAUUGCCUGGGACAAUCAUCUGCAGAGACCAUUCUCUGAGAUGCACAGUACGACGGGGAGAAACGAUCCGACAGCACAGAUCAACUUCCCACCCACAACUCACCCACACUGCUGUAGGAUGAAGAACUAAGCCCAGUGCCACAACGGGGCCAUUUUAUAAUCUCAAUUUAAGUUGAUCUGCAUCACAACCAGAUGGAAGAGUGCAUGUGCCUUCUGGAAGGUGCCCCCAACUCCUCCAACUGACUUCAG